AUGGUGCAGUGGUUUGGACGCAGGUUUGAGUCCCGGUCGGCUACCCAACAAAAUUGCUGUGUUGUUAUCAGAAGUGGGAUGAUGUCGUUGUGCGCUUCCUAGGGGUAGUGUUGCAUCCCACCUAGUCUAGAGCUUCCGACAGCUAGGCAUAGUGGCUCAGGUAUUGGAUGAACAGAUGAAGGGUUAGUUUGAGUCAAGCUUGGUCUACCCCUGAAGACACUGGAGUAUCAUUACUGAAAGUACUGUAGGUGUGUGAGACAGAGUCAAGUGAAAGUAAUCUGACAUCCCUCUACAAAUAUUCUCCCAUGAAUGCUUCUGUUGUAUGACUGGUGGGAUUCGUCUUCAAACCUACUGAGGCCCUGUUCAAAUACUUUGAAAAAGCAUCCUUCCUUAUUCCCUUCCUUGAAGUAAGCUAAUCAGUGAUGGAAUAUAAUCAGAUAUAAUUGGACUGGGAGGUAGGUUCCUAGGUGUGAGAAGUGUGCAGAAGGGCAUGAGACAAAGGAAUGUGUAGUAUUGGGGAAAGAAUCGUUAUGUGUUAAUUGUAGGGGUGCCCAUGGAUCAGAAGUGUCCGUUGCGAGAGAGGCAGGUUGAGGUUACCAGGGUUAGAGUAGAGCAGAGGGUGUUGUAUGCUGAGGCAGUGAAGAAAGUAGAGGAAGAUGGUUCAAGGGGGAGGGAUCCUGAGAGGAUCCGUGUGAGUAGAUCUGUGCCAGCACAGAAGGAUAGGCCUAUGAAUGACAUAUGCUUCAGUAAGAUUGGCUUCUUAACGUUUAUAGCAAUGGUUAUCAACCACGGGGAUGGAACAUAAGUCCCAGAAAAUAGAGGUUCUGGUGGCAGCUGCAGAGAAAUAUUUGGUUGUACGAGAUUUUACUUCAGAAGAGUUACAGGGUGUGUUGAGUGGUGGUGUCCAGAUAGGGUUUUAAAUAUUGGAAUUGGGUGGUGGGUUGAUCAUGGUUAGAUGACAGUUUUUUCUUCUUCUUAUUGUAUUUAAUUUUGUUCCGAAAAGUAUAAGGGAUUUAGACCCGAGUGUAGUUAGUGGCAGUUUUGCAACAUAAAUAUGAUGGAUGCCAACCGCCACACCGAAGAAGAACGAGUUGAGGACUCAAGGGCGUGAGGAAUCUCCACAGAAAGAACAAUGAGACAGAUAUUUUACCGGAUGUAUAAAUAUGAAGCAUCCGGUUGGCGUUUCCACUCACUACCAAAUAUGGUGACGUGAGGAAGCUUGUGGCCGGCAGUGGGAGAAGAUUGAACGAGAUGGACUUUGGCCGAGAUUCUGCACAUUUUCUCAUCGCUGAAACAGUUUAUCGACAUACAGGUUUCUGUUUCCAAAACUAGAAUCUGUAGACUUUACCCUUUGCCAAAGUAAAAAAAAAAUGUAUUGUUUAGGAGCGCAAGGACGAAUGGAUCUCACUGGCUCGUGCUUUACUCCCACCUCCUUGCUUGUUCGACCCACUAUGAUUCGUUCAUCUGCUCUGUGGUAUAUCUUGGGUUAGUUAUAAAAAAUCAUUGAUAUCUCUGAAACGCAUCUGAAAAUACGCUCAGUUCCUGCCCUGGCAAGGCCUACAUUAAUCCGGUUAUUGCUGUACAAAUUGGGAGAAGUAAACCCUCACAAUGCUGAGCACAGUUAGCCGGCAGCUUAAAAGCCACCCAGCAGUAAGUACAUGUGAAAUCGGGAAGUUUGCUAAAUCGUAUAGAUUAUUUGGGGGGGAUUUGCGUCGUGCUAACGUUAACUUCGAAGCUAACCACAUUGCAAUUUUUAAUACGUUACUCGUUUCCCCCAAGUGUCGACUUUUUGUCAUGUGUUUCGUGUUUGGAAAAAGACGACAAGAUUGAAUAUAACGAUAUGGUGUUUACUGCAUUGAUCGUUGAUUGACAAGUGAUGGCAUUUACCACAGACCUAAACGGCCCUGUUUGCUAACUAGUUAGCUACUGUAGCUAUUUGGCGCAAGUGUGGGUUAUGUUCUUGAAAGGGCAAGGUCUAAAAAAUAAUUGAAUGUAUAGUUAAUAUUAUUUACACGUUUUAAGUGACUGUCCAAGGGAGGGAGCAGGCGUGUUUAGCUAGAUGGUUAGUUGCUGGAAUUGCGACCUGGCAAAAAAGACCUCAACUCAGUCAAGGACGAGGCGGUUAACCGAGGACAUAACGUUACUAUGCCAGUGUCACAGAACGACCUAGUGUAGUGGCUUUUUCUUGAAAAAGGUUAACUAGCUAUGAAAGUACUUUUCUUUCUUUUUUUAAAUCAAGGUUUAUUUGGUGGAAAUCGGGUAACUGUGGUCUCGGGACUUUGGCGAAAGUAUUUUUUGGGGGGGAGGAAAGCAAUCCAGUUGACUAAAUAUUUUUUUAUAGACGACCCUCCUCGGUCCUGCCAUUAUGCUCCUGAAGUUGCCGGUAAUAGGCUACACCAGCGGCCGGUUGUCUUUUUCAUGUGGAGUGCCAAUUUACAAUUUAUCUAACCAGUUAUGGUUUUCAUCCACAUUUUCGUGGAACAGCUUAAUUUCCAUUACAAUAACGUUUUUUUUUUGUAUUGCCAACUAGGUAAAAAUAAUCAACAUAAAGCCAACGAAUAACAUUGCAAGUAAAUCAUAUCCUGAUGAAAAUAAAUAUCCUAUAAAUCACAUUGGCUAUGCAUGGAGGUUUGUUCAUUUCAUGUUCUUCAAUAGUUAAUCUCUCUACUCCAUCUGCAAUGAACUUGAAACAUUGUAUUAACUGGGUCUGGCCCACAGUUUGCACUGGCAACUGUAUCAACUCUUAUUGGUCCUCAGAGUUUAAUGAGCCACUGGACCAGAGCAUUACUUUUAUAUUUUCAUGCUGAGGCUCGGUGGUUAUCGAAAGUGAGCAAGCUGGAAAGAUUUUUCGAAUACAGUGAGGAACUAUUUAAAUUCUCAUUGGAUGUAAAGUAAAGACUGACUUGCUGUUUGAGGAAGAAGGAAGCUCAUUAGUGGUGCUGGUCCCCCUCUUCAUCUUCAUCGGUGGUGGGACGGUUAUGUCUGGGGCGUAUCUCUUGCGCCUGGCAAUGGGACCCCAUGUCAGUUGGAAUCGUAAUGGCAACCCCGAGCCAUGGAACAAGACGGAACCCACACAUCAGCACAAGUUUUACUCGGUGAACAUGGACUACAGCAAGCUGAAGAAAGAGGGUCCUGACUUCUAAACUCUUCUGCUGGACCAAAGGCUUGAGGAAAGAAAUGACUUAUUCUAACACUGACGUCCCUUACACCUGUAACUUGAAACCAGUGGAUGCAAAGAGGCUAAACCGCACAAGUUCCGUCCCCUUUGACCUUUUAACCAUCUCUUUUUUUCCCUCAUACCUCAUGGUUGUGCCGCAAUAAAGUUAAGGAGUCUUUUCUCCUGUGUACAGAGAAAAUGAUGUCUGUAAUUCUUUGUAGUCGGUGUUAAGGGCUUCAGGACUGAUUUUUAAUUCUAAAACAUGAUAUUCUGGUACCACGUUCUGGUUUGAAAUAAUGAAUUUAGUAAUUUGUUUCCCCACACUGACUUGAUUGUCAAUAUUUUGCUCUUGGUUUUUGCCUCAUGCCACCUUUUGUCUUCCUUGCCCUCCUUUUCCACCUGGCGGCUUUGUCUGCAUACAUGUAUAUCAUAAUACGCUUGACUAUGGUCCAGUGUGUAAUUUACAGUAUGACAUGCUUGGUACUGCAUAUGCUCACCCACAAGUUAUCAGAUGAGCCGUUGACAUGCUAGUGCUGUGUGCCUUUGAUAGAUCUUCACAUGGUCUGACCAUCUGUUCAAGGCUGCACUGCACCAUUAUAGGCCAUGUUGUCUGAAGGUCUGCAAUCACUCACUGACUAAAACCAGGCACGUGGGAGUAAAGGAUAACAGACAAACUAUUAAGGUUGGCAUUGUAUUAGCAAACAAUAAAGCAAUGAUAAUGUUCCCGAGAGUAAUAAACAGCAG
rnacentral:lncRNA from 1 species